AUUGAACGCUGGCGGCAUGCCUAACACAUGCAAGUCGAACGAGUGGCGGACGGGUGAGUAAUGUAUGGGCACCUGCCUGAUGGAGGGGUAUGCCUACUGGAAACCGUAGCUAAUACCGCAUACCCCGCUCUGUGCCCAGAUGGGUUUAGCUAGUUGGUGGGGUAACGGCUCACCAAGGCGACGAUCCCUAGCUGGUCUGAGAGGAUGACCAGCAACACUGGAACUGAGACACGGUCCAGACUCCUACGGGAGGCAGCAGUGGGGAAUAUUGCACAAUGGGCGCAAGCCUGAUGCAGCCAUGCCGCGUGUAUGAAGAAGGCCUUCGGGUUGUAAAGUACUUUCAGCGGGGAGGCGUUACCCGCAGAAGAAGCACCGGCUAACUCCGUGCCAGCAGCCGCGGUAAUAC
rnacentral:rRNA from 1 species